rnacentral:lncRNA from 1 species
GCCACCAGGGUAAAUGUUGAUAAACAUUUUGGAAUUUAUAGGUUUGUCAUUAACAUUCUCAUGAACAAAGUAUUUGAUUUUCCGUUACACAUUUCCUUUCACUUUUUGAGCCCAUUAAUGCCAAAACAUUUUUUGCAAAGUUAAAACGUGUUACCAAAUAACAUUACUUAAUAGUUGUCGAUUUAUACAGCAUACCAUUAAUGUUAAAACUGCUGUUGCAAGAGCAUUUAGACUCUUUUUCAUAUGCUAUGUGGGAGGAAUGCUCGACCUCUAUUUCCCAUAAAUAUUGUAUACAUACCUAGACUAAAAUAUCCUGUGUUUUCCACUGAUAGCACUGAAUGGCAGCCUGCUGUCUUCACGCAUCUCAAAUUGAAGUCACUACAGUUGACUGGUACAUCAAGGGACCAGCAGGGGCCACAGUACCAAAUCUUCUCUCCCCAUUAUCCCAGAUAAAAAUAGUGUGCUGCCUGUAGCUGCUAGCACACUUUCUCUGCUAAGGGAGCACCCCAUAAGCUGUUCUGGAAAAGAAAUUGUUAGUUAAGUUGUGUUGCAGGUUGGAUUCUCCAGAGGCAGAUGCUGAGAAGUUUGGGGCCCAAGAGGUUUAUUUGGCACCAAUACCUGUGGAAGAGAGAAGAAGCAGGGUUGGGCAGCGAAAGAUGUCCAGGGGUGAUACGGGCAUGACAAAGUCUUGGCCAGAGGCUGUCUCUGUACCGUCCACAGUGGGGUAUGUGCCGUGCAUGAGCUGUGACCACACCAAUGCACUUCAGCCUGGGCAACAGAUGGAGAGCCUGUCUCAAAAAAAAAAAAAAAAAAAGUGAAGGCACCAAGUGGCAGUUGUCACAGGCUGUGGCCUACUCAGGAAGCAGACUUGGAGAUGGAGAGUGGUGGACAGGAGGUUUGUUAGGGAGUGGUCUUGGGAAUACCACCUCUGGAAGGGGAAGGGAAGAAGGAUGGGGCAGGAAGAGAAGUUGGCUUAUGCAUUAGUCAGGGUUUGCUAGAGGGACAGAACGAAUAGGAUAGAUGUAUAUAUGAAGGGGAGUUUAUUAGGGAGAAUGAACUCACAAGAUCAAAAGGUGAAGUCCCACAAUAGGCUGUCUGCAAGCUGAGGAGCAAAGAAGCCAGUUCAAGUCCCAAAACCUCGAAAGUAUGGAAGUCGACAAUGUAGCUUUCAGUCUGUGGCCGAAGGCUCGAGAGUCCCUGGCAAACCGCUGGUCUAAGUCCAAGAGUCCAAAAGCUGAAGAGCUUGGAGUCUGAUAUUCAAGGGCAGGAAGCACUCAACAUGAGAGAAAGAUGAAGGCCGGAAGACUCAGCAAGUCUGCUCUUUCCACCUUUUUCGGCCUGCUUUAUUCUAGCAGCUGAUUAGAUGGUGCCCACCCGGAUUGAGGGUGGGUCUGCCUCUCCCAGUCCGCUGACUCACAUGUUGAUCUCCUUUGACAACACCCUCCCAGACACACCUGGGAACAAUACUUUGCAUCCUUCAAUUCAAUCAAGCUGACACUCAAUAUUAACCAUCACAGCCUAUGAUUCAGCCUCAACAGAGACCAACCACAUGGCCAGCUCUAGACACACUAGGGGCCAGACUUUUAUACCUCCCUACAAACCAGUUCUUGGGUGUGGGCACCCUGGGAAGAGGGCAUGGUCGUGGGUGGGAUGACACUCUUCAUUUGAGGCAAUUCCGAUGAGGGCUGACAGCUGGGGCUCUCUGCCAGAAGCCGUCGCUGCAGCUGGUGGACUAGUCCUUCAGUCUUGAGGAGUAUGGGAUGACAUCACAGCAUCCGCUCCAGAAGUCUGCUGAACCCAUCCUGGCUAACUGUACUGCAACUAUUAACCAUCAUACUUUCCUUUAAAAAUCUCGGACAAAUGCUGAAAGAGCUAAGAUACUGAGACAGAAAGUGUAAGCCGGGACUGUCCUAAGUGAAUCAGGAAAAAGUGACCCUGUCUACAGUGAAGUUAAGGGAGAAAGAACAACUUAUAUUGAACAGCCUUGAAGGUAAGUUGCUGGUCCAGAAACCUUUUGAGCUAAUUUACUUGGUUUCACUUGGGUUUCACCCAGAUGCAAAAGGAUUUACGUUGAUUAUUUAAUCCAUUCUGUCUGUGGUGUAGCAUGGCCGUGCUUUUGCAAUGUUGCAGCAUUUUCUUUCAUUUUCAGCAACCCCUUCUCUCCAUUUAAUCACUGUGUCUGCUGCCCUGUCCUAAUCGCUCAACAGGCCCCCCUCUGGCAUCCCAGGCACUCUGGCUGCGUGUCCCGUGCAUGAUUAUUUGGCCCUCAACCCGAACUCCACUCCACUCUCCCUUAGGCUGUGAGCAGAGGAUUUUUUUUCGCAAUUGUAAAACAUAGAAACUCAUCCCCACCAAUCCUUUCAAAGAGCCCAGGGAGUCCGAGCUGUUCCAAAUGAGAAGCUUCUGCUACAAGAGCACGGCCAGAGACUCUGGCUACCAGAGGGAGGCUGGUGCAUUUCAUUUCAUGUUGAACUCCAACCAGGGUCUCUCGAAGGUUAAAAUGCCUUUACUUAGCUCUCAAUCACUGUCGCACCUGGUCUGGUACACAGUGCUGUAAAAUUAGGAGGGAAGAAGAGAGCAGGAGAAGCCCUGGAUUUGACAUCAGGAGACGUGGGGUCCAGCCCCGUCCAGCCCCUGGCACUCAGGUUCGCCAUGGAUCAGGUCUUAUUCAGGUUAUCAUUCCCACUGCCUAGGAAAGUGUCUGGUUGAGUGGGUGCUAAGAAAAAAUGUUUUCCUUUCUCCCGGGACAUGGCUUGCAUAAGGAAUGAAGAAAAUGAGUGUUUGUGUAGGGGGAAACACUAAGGAGCUAGAAAAGUUUUUCAUUCCAUGGUGCAGUGCUCCUUUCUCUAACCCCACCACCCAAAGCACAAGACCCUUUCCCUGACUUUAUAUCUUACCACACAGUUCAGCAACCCAGUGAAAAGAUCCUUAUUAAAAUCUUAUUUAUUAAUUUUCUUUUGUAAGAAUAGAGACAGAAUCUCACUAUGUUGCCCAGGUUGGUCUUGAACUUUUAGCCCCAAGUGAUCCUCCCACCUCGGCCUCCCAAAGCACUGGGAUUACAGGUAUGAGCCACUGAGCCUGGCCAAGUGAAAAGAUCUUAAGGCUCCCAACAUCACAUAUCUCUCCUGGGGGAUGGUGGGAGGAUUUUAUUUGGACUUGUUUGGAUAUGUGUUCACCCUUGGACCAAACCUUAUGUCCAGGAUUGCAGAAUACUGUGAUUAGGCAGACCUAAAUACUGUAGUUUUUUUUUUUUUUUUUUUGGAGACAGAGUCUUGUUCUCUCUCCCAGUCUGGAGUGCAGUGGUGAUCUCGGCUCACUGCAAGCUCCACCUCCCAGGUUCACGCCAUUCUUCUGCCUCAGCCUCCUGAGUAGCUGGGACUACAGGUGCCUGCCACCACGCCUGGCUAAUUUUUUGUAUUUUUAGUAUAGACAGGGUUUCACUGUGUUAGCCAGGAUAGUCUCGAUCUCCUGACCUCGUGAUCCACCUACCUCGGCCUGCCAAAGUGCUGGGAUUAUAGGCAUGAGCUACUGUGCUCAGCGGUGUACUGUAUUGUUUAUUUUCACUAUUCUCUACUUUUUCCUAUUGUGUUGAAUACAUGUUGAAUGUUUUCUUCUAUUUUUCCCCUUCCUUAAUCCGCCUUGCCUAUUUCAUAUUUGUUUGUAUUGGAUUGCAUUGCAUUUUGUGUUACUUCCUCAAAUACGUCUUGUAGUUUACUGAUUUUCUCUAGAGCUGGUUUUCAUUUGCUACUUAACCUACUCAUUGAGUUUUUACAUUUUAAUGAUAGUUUUAAUGUUAAUUACCUACAGUCACAUGUUUUGUUUUUAUUUUUGACUUGCCUCUCCUUUAUUCAUAGCCCAGCUCUUUCAUUUUAGUUUCCAUACUUAUUUGAUAAUCUCUUUCAGAUUGUUUGAUCAGCUACUUUGGAAUUCAGUGUUGCACCUCCUGAUUGUUGUGUCUGCUGAUUCUCCUCCAAGUGGUUUCAUUUAUUGUGCUGUUUGUAGUUUUUGCUGUUAGCUCCUGCUAAACUGGGGUUGUUUUCCUAUGUAAAUCAUGCCCUCCCUCAUGGCUCAAUUUUGCAUUUGCUUUUGCAAGUAAAUUUUAGGGUUUCCCUACUGCAGGAGCAGUUUUUAGAAUAUUCUCUUGGUUUGAGUUUAUUAAACUGGUUAGACUUUGUAACUUCUGAUACCGUAUCUAUUUCAAUUUCACAGGAGAUUUUGUUUUCCAUUCAGAUUCCCUGUGAUUCCUUUUCCCUUCCCUCAGCUGGUGGGUAGAGUGUUUACAGUUUUCUUUAUCCAGACAGAGCAGUCCUUUGAGGAACCUCUCUCUAGACGGUUUUCCAGCUUCUUAUUUCCAGCUUCUUGCCUCUCAGUGCCCCAGACCCACGUCUCCUUUGCUUGCAUUGCUUACGUAUGGUGUAAAUCCCAUUCAGAGCUGAUAUCCUACUCACACCCUCUGAGAUUCUUCUCUCAUCAUUUGUAAGAAUUACCAGUCUUGUUUUGAGUUAUUUUUUUAUUCUGAUUUCUCCAAGAUUUCCUCCUUUCCUCUCUUUCCUUUUAUUUUCUUCUUCCUUCUUCUGAGUGUAGAAUUUUAUUCUAUAUUAUUGCUCCAUACUUUAACCCAGCAUUCCUAUGUGUUUUCAAUAGGAUCAGUGGUAUCUGGGUGUAGUGGUGAUGUUGGCGGAAGGAUGUAAAUUAAUUUUGUUCAUGUUGCCCAAGGAUCUUGAAUGAUCUUUGAAGAAUGAAAUAAAUCAUAUCACUCUGCAGGUUAAAUCAUUUCAAUGACUUGCUAUUGCACUUAAACUCCAAACUCCUUUUGGCUUUGUAUGUCUUAUAUGAGUUGACCCUAUCUCCCCAUCUAACCAGGGCUUAAGCUUUUCCCUGCAUCAUUCAAACUGCCUUCUUUCUUGCUUUAGAGUCAUUGUUCUAGCUGUUCCUUCUGCCUGAAAUGGUCCCUCGAUCUUUGCAUGGACAUGUGCAUUCUGACAUCCAGAACACAGAAUUGUCACCUUCUGUAUUACUCCGUUUUCAUGCUGCUGAUAAAGACUGGGUAAUUUAUACAGGAAAAAGGUUUAAUGAACUCACACUUCCACAUGGCUGGGGAGGCCUCACAAUAAUGGUGAAAGGCAAGAAGGAGCAAGUCACGUCUUACAUGGAUGGCAGCAGGCAAAGAGGGAACUUGUGCAGGGAAACUCCACCUUAUAACGUCAUCAGAUCUCAUGAGACUUAUUCACUACCAUGAGAACAGCAAGGGAAAUCAUGCCCCCUUGAUUCAAUUACCUCUCACCGGGUCCCCCCUACUACACCUGGGAACUCAAGAUGAGCUUCAGGUGGGGACACAGCCAAAUCCUAUCACCUUCCCAAAAAGGGUUUUCCUGAUCACGCUGUCACUCCCUCCCUCUCAUAACACCCUCACAACAUGUCAUAGUCUACAUGACACAUAUCACUAUGUUAAUUAUACUUUUAAUUUGUGUUUUUACUUGUUUAUUUCAGAGGCCAGGCUAACAGCAAUUGCUGAUGGGGAAAUAAAUGAUCAAGGAUGAAUUGUAGAUCUGGGGCUUGAGCAAGUGAGUGGAUGCUUGUAAGAGAAAUAGGUGUGAGAUGGAAAUCAAGAGUUCUGUUUUGAAAAUAUUUAUGUUUAAGAUUUUUAUUCUUUAUCCUAAUGAAUAAAUCAAGUAAGGAUAUUUAAGUCUGGAACUCAAGCAGAAGUCAGAGAGAUAUAAGCUUAAGUGUCAUCUGCAUAGAGAUAAUAUUUAAAGCCACACUAGUAGAUGGUAGCACCCAGGGGAAGAGGAAAAUAUUGUUAGAAAAGACAAGACAGGCAGGGCACGGUGGCUCACGCCUGUAAUCUCAACACUUUGGGAGGCUGAGGUGGGUGGAUCAUGAGGUCAGGAGAUCGAGACCAUUCUGGCUAACACGGUGAAACCCUGUCUCUACUAAAAAUACAAAAAAUUAUCUGGGCAUGGUGGUGGGUGCCUAUAGUCCUAGCUACUCAGGAGGCGGAGGCAGGAGAAUGGCGUGAACCCAGGAAGGCAGAGCUUGCAGUGAGCUGAGAUUGCCCUACUGCACUCCAGCCUGGGUGACAGAGCAAGACUCCAUCUCAAAAAGAAAAGAAAAAAAAAGAAAAAAAAA